rnacentral:rRNA from 1 species
AUUGAACGCUGGCGGCAGGCCUAACACAUGCAAGUCGAACGAGUGGCGGACGGGUGAGUAAUGUCUGGGCAACUGCCUGAUGGAGGGGGAUAACUACUGGAAACGGUAGCUAAUACCGCAUACCAUCCUAUUUGCCCAGAUGGGAUUAGCUAGUUGGUGGGGUAACGGCUCACCAAGGCGACGAUCCCUAGCUGGUCUGAGAGGAUGACCAGCCAAACGGGAACUGGGACACGGUCCAGACUCCUACGGGAGGCAGCAGUGGGGAAUAUUGCACAAUGGUCGCAAGCCUGAUGCAGCCAUGCCGCGUGUAUGAAGAAGGCCUUCGGGGUGUAAAGUACUUUCAGCGGGGAGGCGUUACCCGCAGAAGAAGCACCGGCUAACUCCGUGCCAGCAGCCGCGGUAAUAC